rnacentral:tRNA from 1 species
UAUUUAAUUUUAAAAUUUAAAUAGUGUAAUUUUAACACUUAACAUUUUCAUUGUUAGAAUUCUUUUGUGGAUUUAAAUU